rnacentral:rRNA from 1 species
AUUGAACGCUGGCGGCAGGCCUAACACAUGCAAGUCGAACGAGUGGCGGACGGGUGAGUAAUGUCUGGGAAACUGCCUGAUGGAGGGGGAUAACUACUGGAAACGGUAGCUAAUACCGCAUACCAUCGGAUGUGCCCAGAUGGGAUUAGCUGGUAGGUGGGGUAAGGGCUCACCGAGGCGACGAUCCCUAGCUGGUCUGAGAGGAGGACCGUCCACACUGGAACGAGAACACGGUCCAGACUCUAACGGGAGGCGGCAGUGGGGAAUAUGGCAAACUGGGCGCAAGCUGGAGGCAGCCAUGCCGCGUAUAUGAAGAGGGCCUUCGGGUGGUAAAUUACUUUCAGCGGGGAGGCGUUACCCGAAGAAGAAGCACCGGCUAACUCCGUGCCAGCAGCCGCGGUAAUUC